AAAAAAAAAAAAACAGCUCUCACUUUUUCCCGUUAAUUCUCCCUUUAUCCCAUUAAGUCUUACUCUAUCUCACUAACGCUCCCUUUUUCCCAUUUCCUCUUAUUAUUCACUUGUCUAUUCAACUCUACCGUUCAAGUCUGACUCUAUAUUACUAACUUUCCCUUUUUUUCUCUUACUCCAUAUUGCCCCAUUCCCUCUUAUUAUUCAUUUCAAUUCAAGUCUAAAUAUAUUACUAACCCUCCCUUUUUUUCUUUUACCCCAUAUUGUCCUUUUCCUCUUAUUAUUCAUUUAGCUCUUUAACUCUACCAUUCAAGUCUAACUCUAUAUUACUAACUCUCCCUUUUUUUCUCCUUCUCCAUAUUGUUCUAUUUACUCUCCCUUUCCACGAUUAACUCUCCCUUCGUCUCAUCAACUCUCCGCUUGAUUUGUUAACUCUUCCUUCGUCUCUUUAACUCUCCCUUUAAUCUGUAAAUACCCCACUGUCUCAUUUGACUCGCCUUGAUUACUUAACUCUCCCUUCAUUCCCUUUAACUCUUUCACUCCAUAAAUAUCCCUUUGUCCCAUUUAACUUUCCUCUUGAGUUUCUAUUUCUCCCUUGGGCCUCCUUACUCUCCCAUCUUUCCCUUCACUCUCCCUUCGUUCCCUUAGCUCUCCCUUCGUUCCUUCAACUCUCCCUUCCUCCCUUUAACUUUCCCCUUAAUCUAUAUAUCCAUUUCUCCCACUGGUUCUCCCUUCGUCCUGACUCGUAUAGGCCUUCACAUCGAACCUCCCUUUGGUCCUCAACCUCACACAAGUCUUUUCCACUGUCUCCCUUUGUCCCUGAUCCUUGUUAAACCCCCUGCCCCCGCCUCACCCCCCCCCCCACCCCCACCCACCCUUGCCCCCUACGCGCCCUGUAUCUCCAUGGUGACGUGUUGACGUUUCAAGUACACGUCUUUCUUUUUAUUACUUUGCCCCAGUAUUCCGAAGUUGUCAUAGCGACACGCAUCACUGGCUUCUGCCCGGACUGUUCUUUCUUGGUCAUUUUUGUAACGAGGGACAAAACAGUGAGCGUGAUGUUGUUUUUGGUGAGUGAAAAUGGAGUGAAAUGAGACGAACCAGCAGCUAAAAAGGGAGAGCAAGGUCAAUAUAAUGAGAUGGAGUUGAGAAAAAAAAAGGGGAAGAAAAAUAACGUGACAAUACAAGAGCUUUGAUUUUCUCUCCUUGUCUUUUUAUAACGAGGGACAAAACAGUAAGCGUGAUGUGGGUCCUUGUGAGUGAAAUGAGACGGACCAGAGGCUGAAGAGAAUGGCAAAGCAAGUUAAAUAAUGUGAAUCAGCGUCGAAACAGAAGAGAAAAAUAAUAGCGUGAAUUUUUAUAGUUUAACGAAGGGCGUGAUAGUAAACGUGAUGUGAUUUAUACGCGUGAAAUGAAAUGGACGAGAGGCUGAAAGAAAGGGGAAGUAGGCUGAAAGAAAGGGAAAAUAAGGUAAAUAAUGUGAAUCAGUGUUGAAACAUAAGGAAGAGACAAAUAAUAGCGAUAAUUUUUUUUGUUUAAUGAGUGGCGUGAUAAUAGACGUGAUGAGAUUUUUUUGCGAGUGAAAUGAGACGGACGAAGGGCUAAAAAGAAGGGAAAGCAAGGCAAAUAAUGUGAAUCUGUGUUGAAACAUAAGGAAGAGACAAAUAAUAGCGAUAAUUUUUUUUGCUUAAUGAGUGGCGUGAUAAUAAACGUGAUGAGAUUUUUUUGCAAGUGAAAUGAGGCGGACGAAGGGCUAAAAAGAAGGGAAAGCAAGGUAAAUAAUGUGAAUCGGUGUUGAAAAAGAAGAGAAAAAUAAUGGCAUGAAUAUUUAUAGUUUAACGAGGGGCGUAAUAAUAAACGUAAUGCGAUUUUUUUGGUGUGUAAUGAGACGGACGAGAGGCUAUAAAGAAGGCAAAGAAAGGUAACUAAUGUGAUUCAGAGUUCAAAAAAAUAAAGAGAAAAGUAAUAGCGUAACAAAACAGGAACCUUCAUUCUUACAGUUUAAAAUGAAAUGACACGAACCAGAAGGAAAAAAAAGGAGAGAGCAAUGUGAGUCAGCACUGGAAAAAUAAGAAAAUGAAGAGCAAUUCGACACAACAGGAGACGGACCAAAAAUUAAAAG